AUUGAACGCUGGCGGCAUGCCUUACACAUGCAAGUCGAACGGCAGCACGGGUGCUUGCACCUGGUGGCGAGUGGCGAACGGGUGAGUAAUACAUCGGAACGUACCUUAUCGUGGGGGAUAACGCAGCGAAAGCUGUGCUAAUACCGCAUACGCCCUGAGGGGGAAAGCGGGGGAUCGCAAGACCUCGCGCGAUUAGAGCGGCCGAUGCCUGAUUAGCUUGUUGGUGGGGUAAAAGCCCACCAAGGCGACGAUCAGUAGCUGGUCUGAGAGGACGAUCGGCCACUCUGGGACUGGGACACGGCCCAGACUCCUACGGGAGGCAGCAGUGGGGAAUUUUGGACAAUGGGGGCAACCCUGAUCCAGCAAUGCCGCGUGAGUGAAGAAGGCCUUCGGGUUGUAAAGCUCUUUUGUCAGGGAAGAAACACCGGCUCUAACACAGUCCGGGAAUGACGGUACCUGAAGAAUAAGCACCGGCUAACUACGUGCCAGCCGCCGCCGUAA
rnacentral:rRNA from 1 species